rnacentral:rRNA from 1 species
AUUGAACGCUGGCGGCAGGCCUAACACAUGCAAGUCGAACGAGUGGCGGACGGGUGAGUAAUGUCUGGGAAACUGCCCGAUGGAGGGGGAUAACUACUGGAAACGGUAGCUAAUACCGCAUACCAUCGGAUGUGCCCAGAUGGGAUUAGCUAGUAGGGGGGGUAAAGGCUCACCUAGGCGACGAUCCCUAGCUGGUCUGCGAGGAUGACCAGCCACACUGGAACUACGACACGGUCCAGACUCCUACGGGCGGCAGCAGUGGGGAAUAUUGCCCAAUGGGCGCACGCCUGAUGCAGCCAUGCCGCGUGUAUGAAGAAGGCCUUCGGGUUGUAAAGUCCUUUCAGCGGGGAGGCGUUACCCGCAGAAGAAGCACCGGCUAACUCCGUGCCAGCAGCCGCGGUAAUUC